GUCCCCUCAGCUCUCCCCACAACCUGACGAAAGGGCCGCCGCCGCCGCCGCCGCUCGCUCCGCCUGUCGGAUCGGAGGAAGAGCGACGGGGAGGCGGAUUUGGAAGGCGGGGCUGAGGCAGAAUCUUCUGGUUGCCAUAAUGUGAUGGGAGUGGAUUGAAACUGCACACCUGGAGGACAACACAUGAAGAUGCGAAGUUUUAGAAGAUUUCGUACCAGGGUUGGGGAUAGAGCCAAACAGGUGCGUCUUCAAGAAGAGAGGGGCAAAAAAGUCAAGAUCGGAGUCAGAACUAUACAAUCAAAACUCACCUUUUAUGCAGAUACCCUGGAGCCAUAUUUAAUCAUAACCUACGCAACGUAUAGUUUAGGGCUUCACAAUAUAAAGGGGUGGGGGAUCCUUGAAAUUUGGAAAAUUUCACAUAUGAUGAUCUCCACAUAGAAGCCUUCAUCUAUGGUUCAGAUUACCAUCAUUCAUUAACUAAAAUAUGCUUGUUUCCAGGGGUGAAAUGCUCCCGGUUCGGACCGGAUCGCCUGAUUCGGUAGCGAUGAAGGUGGGUGGUUCAGAGAACCAGUAGCAAUAAUUCUUGUCCCUCACCCCUUGGCCAGCUGAGCCGCACAA